rnacentral:rRNA from 1 species
AUGCAAGUCGAGCGGUAGAGAGGUGCUUGCACCUCUUGAGAGCGGCGGACGGGUGAGUAAAGCCUAGGAAUCUGCCUGGUAGUGGGGGAUAACGCUCGGAAACGGACGCUAAUACCGCAUACGUCCUACGGGAGAAAGCAGGGGACCUUCGGGCCUUGCGCUAUCAGAUGAGCCUAGGUCGGAUUAGCUAGUUGGUGAGGUAAUGGCUCACCAAGGCGACGAUCCGUAACUGGUCUGAGAGGAUGAUCAGUCACACUGGAACUGAGACACGGUCCAGACUCCUACGGGAGGCAGCAGUGGGGAAUAUUGGACAAUGGGCGAAAGCCUGAUCCAGCCAUGCCGCGUGUGAAGAAGGUCUUCGGAUUGUAAAGCACUUUAAGUUGGGAGGAAGGGCAUUAACCUAAUACGUUAGUGUUUUGACGUUACCGACAGAAUAAGCACCGGCUAACUCUGUGCCAGCAGCCGCGGUAAUACAGAGGGUGCAAGCGUUAAUCGGAAUUACUGGGCGUAAAGCGCGCGUAGGUGGUUAGUUAAGUUGGAUGUGAAAUCCCCGGGCUCAACCUGGGAACUGCAUUCAAAACUGACUGACUAGAGUAUGGUAGAGGGUGGUGGAAUUUCCUGUGUAGCGGUGAAAUGCGUAGAUAUAGGAAGGAACACCAGUGGCGA